CAGCACCCAGCAUGGACACGAAGGUCACUGCUCAGCUUUGGGGCUCCUGCUGCUCUUGCUCCAAGAGCUUCAGGAGUCCGCGGAUCUGAGCAGAGAACCUCAUGUCCAUGCUGUGUGCCAGAGAAAAACUCCAGCAUAGAAUAUGACUGGGCUGUGAAGAAACCCUCAAGUCAGAGGAUAGUGCUUUGGGUAUAUGCAAAUAAGCAGAGCCUGGACAGGGCUGAGCCCAGUGUCCCCAAGAAUCGUCAGUAGAUCAGCUUCAAAUGCAGAAAACAUGAUUGUCUCUGGAUGAUGAAGAAUAGCACCUGUCAAGGAUCUGUGGCAGUGAGUCCCAGUCAGCACACAGCAUGGACAUGAAGAUUGCUACUCAUCUCCUGGUGCUCCUGCUGCUCUGCCUCCCAGGUACCAGUUGUGACAUGCAGAUGACCCAGACUCCAUCCUCCCUGUCUGCCUCUCCAGGAGACACAAUCACCAUCUCCUGCAGAGCCAGUCAGGGUAUUAGCAGGGUAUUAAACUGUUAUCAGCAGAAACCAUGGAAUUUCCCAAAGCUCCUGAUCUAUUACACUUCAAGGUUGGAGUUUGGAGUCCCAACCUGGUUCAGUGGCAGUAGAUCUGAAAAAGAUAAUUCUCUCACCAUCAGCAACCUGGAGCCUAAAGAUUUUGGCACUUAUUACUGUCAACAGCAUGUUAGUUACUCUCCCACAGUGAUAUAAGCCAAGAUAAAAACCUCCCAGGGAAGCAGAAGUGAGAUGCUGGCCUGCCCUUGCUGCUUUGUCUAGUUCUUCUACAGGUUGACACUGCUUCUCAGAUGCAGCCAGACCCUUAAGGAAGAAUUCUCUGCAAUCUAGCAUUCUGUUCUUCUUAGCCCUAGCAAAAUACCAAUGUAGUGAGUCUGAUUUAAUAGUUGAAACCAAUCAUUACA